UACGGGGGGAGCAAGCGUUGUUCGGAUUUACUGGGCGUAAAGAGCUCGUAGGCGGUUUGUUGCGUCGGCCGUGAAAACCUGCAGCUUAACUGUGGGCCUGCGGUCGAUACGGGCAGACUUGAGUUCGGUAGGGGAGACUGGAAUUCCUGGUGUAGCGGUGAAAUGCGCAGAUAUCAGGAGGAACACCGGUGGCGAAGGCGGGUCUCUGGGCCGAUACUGACGCUGAGGAGCGAAAGCGUGGGGAGCGAACAGG
rnacentral:rRNA from 1 species